AUGCACGCUGGCGGCGUGCUUAACACAUGCAAGUCGAACGAAGCACUUUAUUUGAUUUCCUUCGGGACUGAUUAUUUUGUGACUGAGUGGCGGACGGGUGAGUAACGCGUGGGUAACCUGCCUUGUACAGGGGGAUAACAGUUGGAAACGGCUGCUAAUACCGCAUAAGCGCACAGCAUCGCAUGAUGCAGUGUGAAAAACUCCGGUGGUAUAAGAUGGACCCGCGUUGGAUUAGCUAGUUGGUGAGGUAACGGCCCACCAAGGCGACGAUCCAUAGCCGACCUGAGAGGGUGACCGGCCACAUUGGGACUGAGACACGGCCCAAACUCCUACGGGAAGCAGCAGUGGGGAAUAUUGCACAAUGGGCGAAAGCCUGAUGCAGCGACGCCGCGUGAGCGAAGAAGUAUUUCGGUAUGUAAAGCUCUAUCAGCAGGGAAGAUAAUGACGGUACCUGACUAAGAAGCACCGGCUAAAUACGUG
rnacentral:rRNA from 1 species